rnacentral:rRNA from 1 species
UCGGGAAUUUUGGGUCAAUGGGCGGAAAGCCUGACCCAGCAACGCCGCGUGAAGGAUGAAGUAUUUCGGUAUGUAAACUUCGAAAGAAUAGGAAGAAUAAAUGACGGUACUAUUUAUAAGGUCCGGCUAACUACGUGCCAGCAGCCGCGGUAAUACGUAGGGACCAAGCGUUGUUCGGAUUUACUGGGCGUAAAGGGCGCGUAGGCGGCAUGACAAGUCACUUGUGAAAUCUCUGGGCUUAACCCAGAACGGCCAAGUGAUACUGUCGCGCUAGAGUGCAGAAGGGGCAAUCGGAAUUCUUGGUGUAGCGGUGAAAUGCGUAGAUAUCAAGAGGAACACCUGAGGUGAAGACGGGUUGCUGGGCUGACACUGACGCUGAGGCGCGAAAGCCAGGGGAGCAAACGGGAUUAGAUACCCCAGUAGUCCCUGAGCGGGCUGGCAAGGCGCAU